UGAGGAAUAUUGGACAAUGGACGCAAGCCUGAUCCAGCCAUGCCGCGUGCAGGAUGACGGUCCUAUGGAUUGUAAACUGCUUUUGUACAGGAAGAAACAGUUCUACGUGUAGAACCUUGACGGUACUGUAAGAAUAAGGAUCGGCUAACUCCGUGCCAGCAGCCGCGGUAAUACGGAGGAUCCAAGCGUUAUCCGGAAUCAUUGGGUUUAAAGGGUCCGUAGGCGGUUAGAUAAGUCAGUGGUGAAAGCCCAUCGCUCAACGGUGGAACGGCCAUUGAUACUGUCUGACUUGAAUUAUUAGGAAGUAACUAGAAUAUGUAGUGUAGCGGUGAAAUGCUUAGAGAUUACAUGGAAUAC
rnacentral:rRNA from 1 species